rnacentral:rRNA from 1 species
GUCCACGCCGUAAACGAUGGGUGCUAGAUGUUGCUGGUAUUGACCCCGGCAGUGUCGUAGCUAACGCGUUAAGCACCCCGCCUGGGGAGUACGGCCGCAAGGCUAAAACUCAAAGGAAUUGACGGGGGCCCCGCACAAGCGGUGGAGCAUGUGGUUCAAUUCGACGCAACGCGAAGAACCUUACCUGGGUUGGAACCCUCCAGAAGUCCGAAGAGAUUUGGAUGUGCCCGCAAGGGAACUGGAUGUCCAGGUGCUGCAUGGCUGUCGU